rnacentral:rRNA from 1 species
GCUGGCUAAACAGCACGGUGAAUACAUCCCGAUGGAUCACUGAAGUUAAGCAACGUUGCACGUGGUUAGUAUCCGGAUGAGUGACCAUCUGGGCAAUCGCGGGUUGCUGGCU